CUCCUUUUGAGCAUGACGUUAUUCGUCCUGUCGGGCGUCCUCACAAAUUACCUGCAUUCAGAGAUUCAUACCGGCACAGGUCGGUAUGCGAAGUCCCUUUUGGGGCCUUAGCUCAGCUGGGAGAGCACCUGCUUUGCAAGCAGGGGGUCGUCGGUUCGAUCCCGACAGGCUCCACCAUAUUGAGUGAAAAGACUUCGGGUCUGUAGCUCAGGUGGUUAGAGCGCACCCCUGAUAAGGGUGAGGUCGGUAGUUCGAGUCUACCCAGACCCACCACUCUGAAUGUAGUGCACACUUAAGAAUUUAUAUGGAUCAGCGUUGAGGCUGAGACAUGUUCUUUUAUAACUUGUGACGUAGCGAGCGUUUGAGAUAUCUAUCUAAACGUGUCGUUGAGGCUAAGGCGGGGACUUCGAGUCCCUAAAUAAUUGAGUCGUAUGUUCGCGUUGGUGGCUUUGUACCCCACACAACACGGCAUGUAGCUCCGAGGCAACUUGGGGUUAUAUGGUCAAGCGAAUAAGCGCACACGGGGA
rnacentral:tRNA from 1 species